AUGUUGCCAUUGGUUGCCGAGCCGUUUGCAUAUUAAAACCUAUAAAUUAGCAACCACUUUGGGCUUAGGUUGAUUGUACCUUGGGCUUGGAGUGUUUUUCAAAAAAAAAAAAAUGAUUGUGGCUCUGCUUCAUACAUGUGUCCACUCUUGAAUACUUGAAUGGUGAGACAGAGAUGGAGACGGAGUAGAGCGUCCUGAAUCCGACUCAGCUUCUCUCUGAAAAAAGAAUUUGCGAUGAAUCGGAGCUCCGAGCCUCUGAUUGAAUGCUGAAAGAAUCGAUGUUUAACUUUGUCUCCGAAGAAGCGACGACGACCACCACGUACUACCCGCCGUAACGACCACCGACAACACCACCGGUAUCUAGACUGUCACCAGUGGUUCAAUCGGACGCCAAUUCAUGCAACAUAGUAGCUGUGGAUUUUGUUUCACAGGAGAACAUUCCGAACAUUCCAGAAUGCAUCCAACUCAUAGAGGAAUUCCGUGAGCUGCCAGUUAAUCACAAAGCCAAAGAAGACAAAGUAGAGCUAUGAUAAAACAUAACCGGUACUGACUCAUACUAACGAAAUAGUUGAAGCAUAAUAUAUCUAUCUCUGUGACCAACAUAACUAAUGGGAUAGGCAGCACUUUGAGAGGAUUUGCUAAGCAAUGCAUGGAGGAAUCUACUGUAAGCGUGCCUACUGGUGUUAGUCCAUAUGUCAUGCAAACUUUUUACUCUAUAUUUGAUACAAAGGUGAGUUUGAUUAAACAAGUUUCAAAAAUUUAGCUGGUUUUAAAAUUUAGAGCAGAAUACGUGUUGUGUUUACUUUCUUUUUGCAGCAAUGAAAGAUGUGCUAGGAAUGGUCUUUCUUAAAAAAAGUUAUGGUCCUCCUUAACAAAAACCAAGACGAGAUGACACUGAAGAAGCUGAAGAUGAUGUGUAAAGCCUUACUUCUAAGAUAAUGCUCAUAAAUUCACAUAUGUUACGAGGCAAUUUCUUAGGCUCUGUAUUGGACAAGGGAGACAAAGCUACUAAAAGGUUCACUUACUUCCUUGGGAAACCUAGCCGCUUGGUACGCUAUAAUGAAGCUGAAGCGCACAUCAACCGACACCUCACUCUGUUUGUGUGCACGAUGUAAGAAGUAAAGAAAGGUCGCCAAGAAUGAACUACAACCACUUUUGUAAGGUCAAGGCUUACAUAAAGCAGCUCAUCAUUUUUAACCACAAGUUCCACAACAGCUAGGAGAUGUGAAUAUAUGUUUGUUGCGUGUUAAUUUCUAAGCCCCCGGCCGCAUCGCGGCGGGUGCUUUCAUCUAGUUUAAAUAAAAUAAAACAGUUUUAUUAAAUAAUUACAAUACAGAAAUGAAAGAAAGCAAUAAAUUACAGAACUAUUACAACUGAAAUAAUAUUGAAAAAAACAAGAACAAAGAUGAG
rnacentral:lncRNA from 1 species